CUCUUAUCAAGAGUGGUGGAGGGAUUGGCCAUUUGAAACCCGACAACCUGCAUUUAUUUUAUAUGUAUCGGUGUCAAUUCCUACAGAGUAAAUAUUAUAUUCUGGAAGAUAAGAA
rnacentral:ncRNA from 2 species